CACUUCUAAGGAAGGCAGCAGGCGCGCAAAUUACCCAAUCCUGACUCAGGGAGGUAGUGACAAGAAAUAACAAUAAACCGGCUUAUGCCGGUUUAAUUGGAAUGAGUACAAUUUAAACAUCUUAACGAGGAACAAUUGGAGGGCAAGUCUGGUGCCAGCAGCCGCGGUAAUUCCAGCUCCAAUAGCGUAUACUAAAGUUGUUGCAGUUAAAAAGCUCGUAGUUGGAUUUCUGUGGGGACGGAGCGGCCGGCCGCAACACGCGGUUCGAGCUAGCGCUUUCCCUACAUCCUGCCGCGAACCGUGCUACCAUUAGUUUGGUGGCGCCGGGGAUCGGCUCGAUUACUUUGAGAAAAAUAGAGUGUUCAAAGCAGGCCACACGCCUUGAAUAAGUUAGCAUGGAAUAAUAACUAAGGGCUUCGGUUCUAUUUUGUUGGUGUUCGGGACUGAAGUAAUGAUUGAUAGGGACAGUUGGGGCGGUCUGUAUUCCAAAGCGAGAGGUGAAAUUCUUAGACCUUCGGAAGACAAACAGCUGCGAAAGCGUUCCGCAAGGAUGUUCCCUUUGAUCAAGAACGAAAGUUGGGGGAUCGAAGACGAUCAGAUACCGUCGUAGUCUCAACUAUAAACUAUACCAGCUAGGGAUCGGCCAACGUUAUUCUAUACCGACUUGGUCGGCACCUUAUGAGAAAUCAAAGCAUCUGGGUUCCGGGGGGAGUAUGGUCGCAAGGCUGAAACUUAAAGGAAUUGACGGAAGGGCACCACCAGCCGUGGAGCCUGUGGCUUAAUUUGACUCAACACGGGAAAACUUACCAGGUCCAGACAUAGUAAGGAUUGACAGAUUGAUAGCUCUUUCUUGAUUCUGUGGGUGGUGGUGCAUGGCCGUUCUUAGUUGGUGGAGUGAUUUGUCUGGUUAAUUCCGUUAACGAACGAGACCCCAGCCUGCUAAAUAGCGCGCGUGAGCUUUGCUCGCGGCGAGCUUCUUAGAGGGACUCUGAUGCGCGAUAGCACAUGGAAGUUUGGGGCAAUAACAGGUCUGUGAUGCCCUUAGAUGUUCUGGGCCGCACACGGGCUACACUGGCGCCUGCAACGAGCAUAUCAGCUGGCCCGAGAGGGUCUUGGCUAAUCUUUUGAACCGGCGCCGUGCUUGGGAUUGACCUUUGCAAUUGUUGGUCAUGCAACGAGGAAUGCCUUGUAAACGCGAGUCAUCAGCUCGCAUUGAAUACGUCCCUGCCCUUUGUACACACCGCCCGUCGCUCCUACCGAUGAAUGUUCCGAUGAAAUUUUCGGAGAGCACCUGUGAACUUGGCUCUGCCUUGCGAACGGGAGGCUCAAAGUCACUUAAAUCUGAACAUUUCGAGG
rnacentral:rRNA from 1 species